rnacentral:rRNA from 1 species
UAUGAACGGUGGUAAUGGUGCCCUGCGAGUAAGCUUCUUCAUUGAGGCCAAAAGCGAUUACGUGUUAACCAUACGCAUACGGGUCGACCACCGAAGUUACUGUGAACAAAUCAGUGUGUUCAAAGCAGGCGUUUGCCUUGAAUGAUAAAGCAUGGAAUAACAAGGGAUCGAUUCUCUCGAGUCUUUUUGUUGGUUUUUAACCCGAGAAGGAACAAUUCAAGCUGUGGACUUUUAUAGCGUCGUUCGCGGCACUAUUCAUAAGGCCAUGGCCCAGCGGGAUCAAUAGGGACUGCCGGGGUCGUACGUACUCCCACGUCAGAGGUGAAAUUCUUAGAUCGUGGGAAGACGAACUUCUGCGAAAGCAUUCGACAAGAAUGUCUUCAUUAAUCAAGAACGAGAGUGUGGGGAUCGAAGAUGAUCAGAUACCGUCGUAGUCCACUACUGUAAACGAUGCCGUCUCAGGAUCGAGAGAUGUUUCACUUAUGGCUCUCACGGCACUAACCCCUGAAAUGAGAAAUCAAAGAUUAUGGGUUCAGGGGGGAGUACAUUCGCAAGGCUGAAACUUAAAGGAAUUGACGGAAUGACACCACCAGGCGUGGAGUAUGCGGCUUAAUUUGACUCAACACGGGGAAUUUUACUA